CCUACGGGAGGCAGCAGUCAGGAAUCUUUCUCAAUGGACGAAAGUCUGAAGGAGCCAAGUCGCGUGAGUGAUGACUGCCCUAUGGGUUGUAAACUUCUUUUAUAUGGGAGUACAUUGUUCCACGUGUGUAAUUUUGUCUUUACCAUAUGAAUUCUGAUCGGCUAACUCCGUGCCAGCAGCCGCGGUAAGACGGUGGGUCCGAGCCUUAUCCUGAUUGAUUUGUUUUAAAGGGCGCGUAGGUUGAUUGGUAAGUCAGUUGUGAAAGGUUGCGGCUCAACCGUAAAAUGGCAGUUGAAACUGGCAGUCUUGAGUACAGUAGAGGUAGGCGGAAUUCGUGGUGGAGCGGUGAAAUGCGUAGAUAUCACGAAGAACUCCGAUUGCGAAGGCAGUUCACUGGACUGCAACUGACACUGAGGCUCGAAAGUGUGGGUAUCAAACAGGAUUAGAUACCCUUGUAGUC
rnacentral:rRNA from 1 species